rnacentral:rRNA from 1 species
GACGGAGGAUGCAAGUGUUAUCCGGAAUCACUGGGCGUAAAGCGUCUGUAGGUGGUUCGAAAAGUCCACUGUUAAAAAUUGAGGCUUAACUUCAAAGAUGCCGUGGAAACUUUCAAACUAGAGUAUGGUAGGGGUAGAGGGAAUUUCCAGUGGAGCGGUGGAAAUGCGUAGAUAUUGGAAAGACCACCGAUGGCGAAGGCACUCUACUGGGCCAUUACUGACACUGAGAGACGAAAGCUAGGGGAGCAAAUGGG